rnacentral:rRNA from 1 species
AUUGAACGCUAGCGGCAUGCCUUACACAUGCAAGUCGAACGGCAGCGGGGGAGCUUGCUCCCGCCGGCGAGUGGCGAACGGGUGAGUAAUACAUCGGAACGUACCCAGUAGCGGGGGAUAGCCCGGCGAAAGCCGGAUUAAUACCGCAUACGCCCUACGGGGGAAAGGGGGGGAUCGCAAGACCUCUCACUAUUGGAGCGGCCGAUGGCUGAUUAGCUAGUUGGUGGGGUAAGGGCCUACCAAGGCGACGAUCAGUAGCUGGUCUGAGAGGACGACCAGCCACACUGGGACUGAGACACGGCCCAGACUCCUACGGGAGGCAGCAGUGGGGAAUUUUGGACAAUGGGCGAAGGCCUGAUCCAGCAAUGCCGCGUGUGCGAAGAAGGCCUUCGGGUUGUAAAGCACUUUUGUCAGGGAAGAAAUCGUUUGGGUUAAUACCCCGAGCAGUUGACGGUACCUGAAGAAUAAGCACCGGCUAACUACGUGCCAGCAGCCGCCGUAA